UUGUCCUAAUGUAUUUGUUUC
rnacentral:piRNA from 1 species